GUUCACUUCCGGUGUUAGCGUGUGGUGGAGCCACUUAGCGUCGCCCAUGGACGGCCAUUCAUUUUUCACGAUAUUAACAAGCUCACGACUCGUUUUUUUUGAAAGGUAAAGUAAAAUUUUAUGCUUUCUGUUUUACUUACUCCUGUUCUUCAUAAUACUGUCCGGAACUAAGCAGAAUGCUAACUUCCGCGUACUGAGAAAAAGGUCUAUUUAUAUAGUUCCUACUGCUUUAUGAAAGUCUACUUAUAAGUACAUAAAAUCUGUAUAAACAAGAUUUAAUGACAACCUCACCAUCACCAAGAUGAAUUUUACUGACGUACUGGUUGCUAUAAACUCAGUUUUCACUUUGAUGCCUGUUCAGAAAAAAAAUUAAACUAAUGUCAAUACCACUGGAUGAUUUGGAUGAUGAGCUGUUGUCAAUUUUCAUUUUGCAGUUUGGAACUGAGAGAUUGCUGCUUAUUUUUUUGCCUCUUCACCUGUUACCUCAAACACCCGAGGACGAGACAUCUUCAGAAGUUGGUGCAUCAGAUGCAGCUAACCGCUUGAUGAAAUUCAUACAGGUACGUUCUUAGAAAUGUAAAAUAUAUCACUCUACCUGUGAGUUUCAAAGGUCAGCUCAAUUUUUGACUGAGCUAGUGGCUUAAUGUGAUUUAGAUUUAGUUGUUUGUUUGUUUUUUUCCCACCAGAUGAGCAUAGUGUUUCAGCAUUUUAUUUUCUUUAAAAUUGUGGCACUCCAAGACCAAAAUCAACUGGAUAUAGGGUCCGUUAUUAACUGUUAAACUGUAAUAGGAGUUGGUUGUGUACUGGAUUACAUUGUAUUGAAAGGUGUUCCUAAUAUUUUGCCCCCCCCCCCCCCCCCCCAUGUUUUUUUAAAAAGUGGUCAAAAUAUAAGGAACACGAUUUAGUAUAGAGCACUCCAGUACACCAUGACCACAUACAAGAAGAACAGAUGGCACCUUUCUCACCAUGUCAACAAAAAAUGCAAAUUCUGAAGCUUUCUGAUUGUAGAAUUUGAGGUAGAGCUGUAAGAUUAUAUCUAUAUGUUGUGUAUGCCAUCCUUUAAUGGCAGUGACAUGUUUGGUUCCUGUAGAGUAUGAGGGGGUAAGCAAAUGGGUCAUGGUGCUAAAGACUGAGGAUGUCUACAGUAACCUUAAAUGUUUAGGUGGAGAUAAUUUGAGUGACAGUAUUUUCGGGGAAGUGCUUCAAAGUGUAUUUUAGACUUGAAUUCAUGCUGGAUGAUAUCUCUUAGUGGAGAUAUCUUUUCUUUGUUAGUGCUGGCAAAUUUGAUUAACUUCUAAUGUCAUCUCAUGUCUCAUUUAAGGCCUUCUCUAACUCCUCCUCCUUAUUUCUCUGAAAAUGUUAGACUCAUUUUUCAGUUUAUGUGUGUGUUUUAAACAUGCUUUUUAGAAUUUUUAUGAGUGUCUACGAAUAUAAAAUAUUUUAAUAUGUUAUGUGGUAAAUGAUCCAGAUAUUGCAGGUACAGUACAGCUAUGCUGCUCUGUACAAGUAUCAUGUUUCACUUGUCAUCCCAGACUGUCAGAGCAGCCCUUUACUCAAUAUCAGGCAGUGAUUAGAUCUCCAAGGAAUAUGAGAAAACAAAGUGUCUCUCUAAUAGCGCAAGAAGAAAGAUAGUGAGCAUACCUGUGGCAGACAUGGUGGUGAGUCAUGGGUGUGUGUCGAUUUAGGAUUAGGACUAAGUCCUAGUAACCUUGUGUUAACUGUUAUUUUAGUGUUUUGUUGAAAUCAAGUUAAACAUCAUGGUAAAGAAGGUUUAGUGUAGUCUGAUGCCUGUGAUAAAUUUGAGUGGUUUGUGUAGGUUGAGCCAGUGAAAUACAGAGAUUUCCUGACAUUAGGAUGAAUGGCUGGACAUGUCAGGAAAUGGGUAGUGUGGAAAUGUCACCAAGUAGUGCAGUGGUUGGGCAUGGAGCGAUGCUGAGGCUGAGGAUGUCAGACAGCUUGCUCAUGACCUUCAACCAGAAGGUUUGAACAUAUGGACAGAUCCAGAGGGCGUGGAAGUAGUCAUCUGUUUUGGUUGGGCAGUGUGGACAGGUGUUAUUUUGGCUGAAACCCAUGUGAUACAAUUUGUGAGUGGUGAGGUGGGUUUUGUACGGUAUUUGCUGGGUUUUGGAGUUGAGUGGUUGAUGUAUUAUUGGACAUAUUGUGCCAGUUGAAGUCUGUUGAAAGGUUGCUGAUGCCUGAGGACCAUUUUUCUGACUUUUUUUUAUUUUUAUCUUUAACUCAAUUUACUGAAAGAAGCAGUGGUCGGGAAUCUUGUAUUUCUUUUAUUUGGUUGAAGGUCAUGAGCAAGCCGUCAUGGAGCAGAUGUCCCAGUCUGGCUACUCCUCUCUGGGUUUUCCAAUAGAAGUCAGGGAGCCCCAGCCAAGGGGUGGGUUGAUAGGAGUCAUAGCAAAGGGGUAGUUGAGUUUUGGAAAGAUGCACUUGUGCUAGAGGGGUACAGUUAAACUUAAAAUAGGUCAUUUAAAUUUGAUGAGAUUAAGAUACCAAAGCAAGCAAUACAUUUGGCGGUAUGUAUCAGAAAGGGAUCACCAGCUCAAGCAUCCUAGUCAUGUUUGGUUACAAGCAGAAUCUCAGAUUUUGUCCAUCUGAUAGAGUAGCCAGACACCAUACUGUAGUUACUGCAUAUUAUGGACUGAUGGAAGCAAAGAUGUGGGAUUUGUAAUGUAAAGUAGUAUGUCAUCAGCAAAGAGACUGAUUUUGUGAUGGUGGGAUUUUGAUUGGGUGCCUGUGAUAUGUUUACAUUGUCUGAUGGAAGUAGCCAGAGGUCCAGCAAAGAGAAGUGAGGAUAAUGGGCAUCCUUGUCCAGUAUCUCUCUGUGACUGAAAAGCUUUUGAAACCAGUCCAUUAGUUAUUGCAGAUGCAGUGGGUGAGUUGUUCAGUGUUUUAAUCCAGUUGAUGAAAUAUGGUGGUCAAGGGAGGUGAAGAGAGAGGACCAGUCUAUCACAGCAUCCAGCGUUGCCAUGGCAAAUGGUGAGAUGUUGUAUGGGGGGCUGUUUUCGUGAAAGUUGAUCAGAUUGAAAAGUCUCUGAGUGUUUUGUGAAGAAUGCCUCACUUUGAUGAAACUGCUUUGAGUAGUUAUUUGUGACUAAUGGACUUAUUCAUCAAGAAGCAGUCAGAGUAUGAUUUAUGGUGGGGUGAGUGGUAGGUAUAUUGGUUAUUGCUUGGGUUGUUUAGUCUCCAAAUAGCCAUCAGUCCAUAAUCUGAUGUGUAUUGUUUCAACACAAAUGUAGAUUGGUUGGAUUUGGAAGUGGGAUCGAUCAUUAGAUGGGUCUAAAACUGUGUUGUAAUCGCUGCCUGGGAUGAUGUGUGAGUGAGGGAAGUUAGAUGGUGCUGUGAAUAAAGAAUGAAAAAAGGAGGGAGAGUCUGAGAUGAGUGAGAAUGUCUUUUCCAAUUGUUUCAGGGAUAAUAAUAUAGCAGCUCUCUGGGUCUAUUAGAGUUGAAUUGUGGGUAAAUGGGAUGUUUUUGCUGAUUAGAAUGGAGACACAAGGUUUUUUGGAGCUGUAUGUAGAGCAAUAUGUCUGGUCUAUCCGUUUGUCUGUAAGCUUCUGAGAUUCUGCCUCUGUUAAGUGAGUUUCUUGAGGAAACAGACACCAGAUUGAAGAUUUCUAAGGUGGCUGAUAAUUUUUGUCCUUUUUGGAGAUCAGGAGAGCUGAUUCCUCUCAUGUUAUGUGGUUUAAUUUUCACUGACAGAACCAUGUUCUUGUUAUUGUACAACACUGGGUUUGGUUACACAAUGUGCAGGAAGUAUGCAUAUGGAGUAGGAUUAUGAGUAUGAUAAAUAUGGCACACAAGACAGAAUCAACUUUUGACAUAAACACAAAAAUGUACAAAUAUUAGGAAAAUAUUCACGGGCUGAGAGGAGAGCAGAGUGCCACUGAAGACUCAGCCUUUUGACUACAUUACUGUUUUACAUUACAACUUGUUUAUUGUUUGUAAUCCUCACACUUUCACUCCAACAGGGACUCAUUGAAAGACUUGUUUUGAGAUGCUGGCCUAUGCCAGUUACUAUUCAACAUGCAAGCAUAACCCUGUUGUAAAUUUUAUUCUACACCUAGUGUGGUAGAAAGACUAUCACUUCAUUCCCUGGUUUUAUUUUAAAGCAGGUGGUUUGGUAUUCAAAAGUCUGCUGAGUGUUUUUUUUUACGAGACUGGCUGGAAUUUAACACAACACUGGGCAACACAGCCCUUUGUAGACUAUACAGAGAAUACACAAAUUGUAAUAAUGCCAAGGUUUUUAUCGUUAUUUUGAUAAAUAACUCAAAAUUGAUUUCAGAUGAGUUUUUGUAGUUUUAAAAUUCACGAGGUCAAAAUGCUUCAUGAAAUUAUGUGAGAGUACUGAUUAAAGCAGCCUGUUGCCUUAGAGUAUCGCCAUACAUUUUAUAUUCAAGACGGACCUAUAAAAAUGCUAGAAUUUAUGAAGUAUGACAAAAAUGUUUUUUUUUUGCCAUAAUUAUGUACAGUAAUUCAAAUUUUUGUUUUUUUUUAGUUUUAUUCUAUUGUUUCUGUGCUUUCUUUUCACUCAGACAUAUGUACUAAUAGGGCCCCAUUGUACAGAUCCCUGUGAAGAGCAGGCUGAACUAGCUUCUUGUUGGGGGUGGUGACAGCAGAGGGUAGAGUGAAAAAAUCUAAUAACCUACUUUUAUGAUGAGAUAACUUUCAACAGUACAUAUAAAUAACAUAUUGUGGUUGGACUGCUGUUUGUAAAAAUGAAAGACGUAUAUCUACAUUUUGAAUUUUUGUCACCCUUUCCAAUUUUAAUCUAUUCUUCAAGUGGUUAAAUUCCCAGACUAAACUUGGUCCUAAUAAAAACUUUGCUCUAAUGAAAGAAAUAACUGUCUGUGAAUAUUCAGUCCAAAUUAGGUGUUACCCUGAGCUUGUUUUUCAGAGAUAAGUGUGAUAAAGCAGACACUGUCCUUUUCAGAGAAGCCUUUAUUUUUGCUUUUUGGUAAUAUCCAAAAAGCAACCACAAAAAAGUAAUUUUGCAGUAAUAUCUUUUUAUACAAUCACCCACUUCAUAAACUAGAAAUGUUGAAGUUGUGAAAAAACAUGGUUGUGCUUUGUCCUAUCCCGGUUAGGGAAUUUCUCAAAGACAAAAGCCUUUAUGUGGGUUAGUUCCUCUACUAUUUAUCAAGAUCGACUGAAAGUUUGGUUGAGUUAAAAUUUUCAUGAUGGUGACCACGGUCCAUAGGCUUCAAAAAUAGACUACAGAAACCAUUGGAUGGUGUCUUGGAUACAUAUGCAGUACAUGUUCUCUGAAACUUAGAAAUAAAUGACUAUAUCUGCAUCAUUAUUAACAUCUUGUUUCAAGGUACUGACCUCUACCCAGGCCUCUGUAAUGCAGUGUUGUGUUUUCAUGAUCCAUGUAAUACUUAGGAUCACAACUCACAGAGCGACAAGCAGUCAGCUCUGCUUCCUUUGCAAGCUCCGAUUGUGAAAUGAUUAAUCAGCUUCUGUUCUGAACAGAACGUCUGUUUUUUUGUGUGUAUUUUUUCCACCAUUACAUGUGCCAGCAUGAUAAUAUCUGAACACAUUUCUAUACAUAUGGAACAUCCAUUAUUAGAUGCGUUCCUAUGGAAAUGAAAACAGGAAACUUUGCCCUUGGAAAUAUGUCAAUUUUCUGUGAUUACAGGAUGUGUUAGCAAUGCAGCUGAAUGUAUUUAAUGAGAUGAAUAUAUUUAUUUAAUGUUGUUUAUUCGUCUGUUUAUGCUAGAAAUGAAUGCAGUCAUACAUUCACUUUGCACAGCUCUUCAACAGAACGCUCUGUGUAUAUUUGCGACAUUUGGCAGAACAGGUUUCUUGUAUAUUUGCAGUAAAUAUGACAUGGAGUUACAGUUUGAUUGUAUUUUCUAGUUAUAGGUGUUUUUGUUCUAAAUCCCCUGCAAAUCCCAUAGUCAUUUCUACAUUUUGUUUUGCUAUAUUUUGUCAUAUCCAUUCUUUCUACUGACACAGGCGUACUCCCUGUCAGCUAGUGCCUCCACAUUGCUCAGGAGCUCAGUGAAGCUGGGUCUGUCUUCGGUGACAUGUGCCAUCAGCAGUGCAUGACUGUGGAGAAAUCUGUUGAGAGCUACAGGGCACUGUACUGAAUGGUUCCCAUUGAUCUACAUUUGCCUGACACUGUGACUGACAGAGCCAAUCAGCCUAUCAUGGCCCUGGAGACGGACAGACACUCAUUUACAGGUGAGAUGGGUUAGGAUGAGUUUGAUUGAUUGGCAGACUGUCACCAAGCCACUGGGGCAUUUCAAAACCAUCUCUGCACAGUGGGAGAGCAAUAUUAUGUUGGCGUAUGAGUGUGUAUGUGUUUGCGAGUGCAGGUGGUCAGCCUUGUACAGAUUACCCAGUGCACCUUGAGUGUGUUGACAGGUAAAGGAUCAGGCUGUCAGAUUGGCCCCGCCCACAUCUUUAGAAACUGGUGACGGGGAUAAUGCCAGGAAAGAAUCAUAUACAGUCUUUGCAUGGAUGCAGACCCAUCAAAGUACACACAUACACGCCUUCAAGAUGUCUCUCUCAUCUGCAGAUGUAUUUAUAUUAGAUCUCUCUCUCUCUCUCUCUCUCCAUCUCCUCCCUCUCUCCAUCCUGUGGUGUAGUGUUGGAUCCAGCAGUGCCAUUACUCAAACACAGCUUGUCAGCACAGAUAACAGUUGUUUGUUGUUUAACACUAUACAGAGCGUUGCAUUGCCAGUCAAAGUCUAAAAAAAAACAACAUUCUUUAUUCCCUCUAUUUUUUUUUACAUGAUUUUACAUUCAGCAUAUUCAAAGCUGGCUUGAACAGGCUUCAUGUCUUACACCAGAAAUUAUUUUUCCUUUUUGUCAUAUCGCAAAAAUCACAAUUAAUGGAGGGGAAAUGUAUUUCAUGCGAAAUGCUUCUUCAGCAUAUUUAGAUAUCAAUCAAAGUACAGAGGAAGGGUGUCUUGAAUAGCCUAAUUUUGUUCAUAUAUUAACCACCUGUUCCUCAGUCUAUAUUUCGUUUACAGUAUGUCUUUGGUUUGGGGACCUGGAUCUUUGUUCUGGUGGGAAGUCAGUGUGACAUGGUUUUAAAUCACCCUGUUAUUCAGAGUGCAAAUACUGCCCUCAUGUGGCUGAGCUUUGUUUGUCAAGCAGAGACAACUGAUGAACAUACAAAUUCCUACAACAGUUCCUAGAAAAACAGAAGGCGCAAAAAGUAGGUGUUAAAAUGUGUAAGUCCUCAGCAAUGAACCAGUUAAUGCCCAGAGAGAGCUGAACCAUCAUAUAAUGAAAGUAAUAAUGCAGGUUUGUUGGCCACUAACAUGCCCUUGUUUUGUAUUUUUUAUUCAUAUGAUUUAAAUUCGAUUAAAGCUGAUUGUGCUUGUGAUUUUUUUGGUCUUUUUUCUUCAUGUACCGCUGCCUUGAUACCUUGUUUUUGUUUUGUAUUUUUGACAGGAAGCUGUAAUUUGUGUUUUUACUUUUAUGAUGAAUUCUGUGACUAAAGGGGGACUUAUUUUCUUUAGGAGUAGUGUAUGUAAAAGAGGAAGUGUGAAAAUUCUCCUACUGAUCUGAAGAAUGUAAAACUACAAUCCAGGUAUCCAUGUCAAUAUGUUUUCAUGCAAUUUGUUUCCACUUCUUCAAGUAAAAUGAAUGUAGCCUUUAUAACAUUUACGUGGUGUUAUAAAAUUUAUGUAUUUUAAUUAUUUUUUUGUACCAACAACAGUUUACUGAACAUCCAACCUUCUGGCCAAUGGGAAUAAGACUGCUGAUUUCCUCCAUCUUCCACUCAAGGAAACAGCGGCUUAUCAAGUGCUGUUUUAAGUUUAAUGAUUUUAUCCUUGAUUGCUAAAAGAGUGGAAAAACACACACAGGCGACUCCGUUGUUACUCCAUUGUCAGCUUGUCGAGGCUGCACUUGUUUUUCUUCUCUGUAUAUAAUUGCAUACCACCACCUGCUAUGUUGAAGUAUACAUGCUUGUCAGUAAGUGCAGGAAAGCAGCAUUUACUGGUUGUUUAUACAAGAUUGUAUUUUCUGAAUAAUGUGUUUCACGAAAUUGCUGAAUGACACAUUACUCCAUGGUGACAAAUUUUACAGAUAUUUUUGUCUGGGUUUUGGCGAGAUCUCUGAUAAAUUCAUAAUGCAGGUUUCCAUUAAUGUGUAAUGGGGACCCUGCAGCCCACACAAUGAGAGACAUUAUUGAUGAAAAGUCUCGGCUGAGCUGCAUACUGCAUGAAUUGUUUGCAGUGUCUCUCUCUCUGGGUGGUCUGGUUCAUCUACAAGGUUUCUUGGGAGAGGAAGCAUGUGGUGUCACAGUUUCCUGUGUGAUCUGACAGUACGCUUCAGUGUGUGAGCGUGUGUGUGUGUUAUUGAUGUGCUGUUGACGUGUUUCUCUGAGGGUCGUUACGCUCUUGUGGAGGCUGUUACUGGAACACACCUGUUGCUGCUGAAACUGCUCAAAAAAGUCUUCUGUUUGAAAAAAAUCUGCAUGAGGAGGAUAUAAAAGGCCUAGUUUAUGAUAAAUAUAGUCAUUUAUAUACCUUUUAAAAGUCCUUUCUGCCCCCUGCAUGUCUAAUCUUAAACUCCUGUCUUUUUCUGCUGUUUUAUUUUUAUAGUGGCUGUUUUAUUUUGUGGGAACACUCAGCAGAAACCAGACACCAUCCUGGGACAUAUAACUGAAUACUUGUGAAAAGUGGUGAACAAGCCAACAAUUCCGAUAAUACUACACCGUAUGGACCAUUAGCCAACACGUCUGCUGACACCUUCUACCCCGCACAUAUGUGUAUUCUCACCCGUAUGUUAUUCCUCAUGUCCAGGCAUCUGCAGACUGCUUUUCCUGCGCCCAGAUGAUUCUGGAACUCAGGCUGUUUUAUCAAGUGCAAGAGUCCCUGAAUGAGCUUCCCACCUUUGGUUUGGCAAAUUACAUUUCCUGCAAAAUCCCUCUAGUAAUAACCUCAGCGCCAGGAGGUGUGUUUAAACAUAAUAAAUCGACAGUUAAAAGACGGGCAGACAGACAAAGGGAGGAAAGUAUAUAAGAGACAGCUCAGCUUCCCUACAUUUAAAACAGAGUCUUUGAACACGUAUAAGUUUGGAAACAGACGCAGGUUUUUAUUUGUUUUUUCUGCAACCCUUACAAUUUUAACUACAGUGUCAGCUUUAAUCCAGCAGAUGGCAGUAAAACACAAUUGAGACAGCAUUCAUACUUCAAUGUUAACUCAGGGUCACUUGGCUUUACAUCCCUAAUGUUAUCAGGGGAUGUUUUACUUAAGAGCUGAAACAGAAAAUCUCAUUCAUGUCUGAGUAUCUUCACCUAAUGAUAGAAUUCAGUUACUUUGGAGUUUCUUUGUUUACUUUAUAUGAGCGUAUGAAUCCAAGCGCUCUCCACACAUUCACAAAGCCAUGCACGAGCCAACAUUAACUCCCUCUAAAGCUUUACAUUGAAUAUUUUCCUCUUAAUUACCACCUUUGCUUAAUUCUCAGAAUGCACAAGGAGUAGGAGAAAAAAAUCAAUAAUUGACAUGGAUGAUGUCUUGCAUUUCUCAAUAAUUUCUUGGAGUUUGCAGUGAUUAUCUUAUCUUUCAAGAAAACAUGUCAUAACACUUUACUUUCCUGGGAAAAAUAAUGAUGAAGAGAGGCUGUAGGUCAAAGGAGAGGGGGCUGUUUGUACAGACUGACAUUUGGCACAGGCAUACAUAAACAAACAGCUCUGGUGAUGACAAAAAUUUCUGUUUUAACCAACUAUUAAAAAACAAAAUCUGACGGGUCAACUUUUGUUGAUUUUAAAAUUCCGGCAACAUUUCUAUCAGCUUAGUUAGAAAAUGUAAGCUUGAUUAAAGCUCCUGUGAGGAGUUUUUGAUUGGUGAUGAAACGGAUUGAUAUAAGCAGUGAGACAUCUAUAUGACGUUUGAAUGCAAGUAAGACUUUCUUUCUUUAUUGUAACUUUUAAUGACUGUUACUGCUGUGAGGGUGCAGGGGCCUGUUCUACGAAGCAGGAUUACUGCUUACCGAGGUAACUUCAAGGGUAAGUUUGGGGUUUCCUUUUCUACGACGUGGCCCUCUUCUCACUUCUUAGCGAGGUGAGUCUCCAUGACAACGUACCCUUAAACGGCUAACCUGCUCCGGGCAGGUUAGGUUCCAGAUUGAUCUCGCCGAGUAGAAAAACCCUGCUCACGGACCAAUGAGCUCUCUCAAAAAAAAAGGCGUUUCUGUUCUUGGAGGAUCCUAUAGACCUCGGUGCUCGCAUUGUCCGAGGAGCACUCCGGCGCGAGAGAGUUUUCAGGGACUGCACGAACCCACUUACUUUUCCGGAUGACCACCUUUAUGAAAGGCUCAUAUGGCCGACAUAUCACACAAAAAAUGUAAACACGAUAGGAAUGAACAAAUGAAUGAAUUCAUCUUGGAAAUUAAUUAGACGUGUCUGGUGCAUGUUAAAAGCGCAUGUUGAACAGUGCUAUUUCAGGGUGAUAAUGGCAUCAAGGAUUUUUUGCGCUCUAUACUUACGCAUUGAGACUGUCGGCAAUUUUCUGUUAGAAUUCCUUCCGUGCUUUUUCAGCGGCGACGGUGUUGUUGCUUUUGAGGUUUAUGAUGAUCUGAAUUCUGCAUUCUUUCUCAUGAUCGUCACCUGCUCCUCGUUUUUAAAGUAUGUGGUCCUUCGCUCUCCUGCUCCGACGCUCCAGAUUGGUCCAUGUUCGCGAUUGGUCAGAUGCGGCGGGCUCAGCCUUACAUGCGUGCACGCGCUCAUAGCAAAGCUAGAUCCAAUUAUGAGGUUGAUAACCAGCGUCGUAAGACCGUUUAGCGAGACCGCUGGCUACCGCACUAAGUUGAGCAAGGUAGCUCCAAGGCUACCUCGCUAGGUCGAACUUGCUUCGUAGAAUAGGCCCCAGGUAUGCUAAAGAAACAUCCUUUCUUAUUUUUCCCACUACAAACAUGAACAAGGUCCAGAUAAAAUCAACAACCGUACAAGAGUUAUCAUUUUGUCCACAGAGGGCGCCAAAUCAGUCUCAGUGACUUUUCUAAUGCCAAAUAUUUACAGUAGGUGAGAAAUUUCACCCUAAAAAGUCAACAGGAGGAUGUUUGUUUGUCAACUAACCCGACUCUUUAUGAAGUCGGCAACAACAUAAGAGUUACCACUUUGUCCACAGGGGGCACCAAAACCAAUGCAGACAGAGAGUGCUUCACAGGAGCUUUAACAGUGCACUGUAUGUAUGUUUAAAGUAGUUUGUAUUAAAAAGAAUCAAAGAAAAAGCCUUUUGUAUAAAUAGAUACAGCAGGUCCUCGCUCCAGGGGCUGACAUGUUGCGCUGCCAUGUUUUUUUUACAGUAACUCAGAGUUGACUAAUGAGCAGGAAGUGAACAUGUUUGGUCAAUGACUGGGUUGCUACACAACAUGCUGUGUAAGGGGAAUGGAGAGAGCUGAGUGGGAUUGAUUGUUGUUUUUGAUGUACUUAUACUUAUCACUGCAAAAGCACAAUGAGAUCCGGACAGGCGACAGCAGACAACAGGGGUGAGAAUCAAUGUUUCCUUUUAUGAUCCCUAUGUUUGAAGAGGGACACCAAAAUUGCCAGUUUCACGCUGGACAAGUAGGAGAACAUUUAUUCAUUCAAACUAACAUUAGUUUAAAGAACAAUGAAGCCUGGAUUAUCUCAGUUAGGGCUGCUUUCAGAGAUAUUGCUAAUAUUUCAUCAGAAUGAUAAGAGUCAACAGUGGGGUGAUGUUGUGCCAAUAACUCAUCAUUUAUUCCUUUUCUCUGACAGUAUCAUGACUCAUUGUACUCAAACUAACUAGAAAAGGCCAACAAUUAGCCACAUGAUGCUGUUUUGAAAGGGGGUGCAGAGUCCUGAUACUUCUAACAAUGUGGUGCUGAGGCGACAAAUCGUUAGGUACAAUUAAAUGAGACUCUCCAUGUUCCUCAUUCUGGCACAGGCUGAUUGCUGCGGAACCAAAACUCUCAAAACAUGAUAACUUUAUUCUCGUAAUAGUAUGGCUUUACUUUGACUUGAUUUUUAUCAUAAUAUGCCUUUAAUCUUGUAACAUUACAACUGGAUUUUAAUACGGCUUUACUCUUAAUCCUCUGAGGAAAAUGUUGUUUUUCUUAUCCUGUGGGAAAGUGACGUAAAAGAAAAAUCUCAUUUUAUUAUGUGACCAUAUAUUUUGUUGUAGCUACGUAAGAAACAGUUGCUUUUUUUAAGCAUUCCUUGUCUAAUAUCAGCUUCUAUUACUAAACCAAUAAACUACUCAUUGUCAAUAUCUUAAAACUGACCUGAAAAACAUCACCAUCUAGGUAUCUGAAUUAUGUUACAUGCAUCUGUUUUAGAUGAUGCCAUCUUUAUUCCGUUAAUCCCUUUUGGUUCUCGAGGGCCACCGUUGCUUUAGUGAAUUCUACAGACUGCACCUUUAAAUAAGCUGCAUUAAAAUGUUACAGCAUGUAGGCAAUUAAGUUAUGUUGUUUUCUUUGAGUUUACUUACUAAAAUACCACAUGGAUAAUGACAGUAAAAACACUUUACAAACUAUGUAAAUUAUUUAUUAACCCAUUACAGCCAGCGCUUGAAAUGAGCUGGAAUGCUCUAGUGUGCAGUACAGCCACUUCUCUACUGAACCCCUUACCAUACUGAGACUUUUCUGUCCUCUCCUUAUCACAGUUUACGUGUUUAUUUCAGGAGAAAUUACCACCAAACUCUCUAUUUACUAGAAAGAGUUCUCUUCUCAAGCACUUAACAGAGAAAACAAAGAUGGGAAAUUGAUCUGUUAAGCUGUACAGCAGGAUGAAAAAUCUUUUGAUUUAAUAAAUGUAGUGUUGGAAUGAAACCUGCGUUUCUUCCUGGCUGGAGAAGAGCUUAUCAGCAAAGCUUGUGUUUCCUGAUAAAACUGAAACUCCUUUCCAAUAAUGCACAGAGGGGAGGAGGAGGGAAGCAGGAACAAUCAGCCGAUACAGAGGAAGAUGCUUUGCUGCGCUGCAAUUGGCUGCUUGAAAGUCGGCAGUCGGCCACAAAUCAACACUUAACGUUCAGGAGGCUGGGGGAUUCUGGGAAAGCAUGUGACAACAGCAGGCAGCAUAACAGCUUAAAUAAUCACGCCUAGAUUUGCUGGAUAUUACAAGAACUGCUUGCCGGGCGGAAGAUGCAUAAUCAUGCUUCCAGGAAGGGAGCUGAGCUGAACGACUUCUGGCUGUGGUUGGAUGUCAUUACGCCAAUUUCCACUUCUAUUCAUGAUUGCAUUAUUACAAUAUCAGGCUCUCAGGGCACUCUGGGUUUGCACUGAUUGGUUCUUGCUCUUACAGGACAGCUUCUUUAGUUGAAAUCAGCUGGAUGCUUUGUUAAAUGUGUAGAUCUGGGAUGUUCUAGCAGGAUAAGGGUGUGUUUUCAGUUGGGAGUUAUACUCCACUUUGGCCAGCAGAUGUCAGCACAUACCUACUAGUCAUGUCACUUGCUUGAGCUGAAUCAGUAGCUGCUCCCUGGAACAUGCCUUCAUGUUUUCAUUUUCAAUCCACUUCACAGAGAAAACUGCUGUCAUUGCAUGUCCUUACAUCAGGUUAUGGAUGCUACUUCUUAACUCCAGUUCUGAGCUGCAAAUCAGUGUGUCAGUGAAGUUAGCAGAUAUUUCCAAGCCUACUUUUAUGGGUUAAUAAUGGAUUCAGCUCUAAUGUCUUUCCCAGCCUUACUUCUUCCAUCAAGUGUUGUGAAACACUUUCCUGGCUGCAUGUUUUAUUUUCAGUGUUCGUCUGAAUCCUGAUACCGCUAAAUACGCCAGGAUCAAAACAUGACCUUUUACAGCAUGUUCCGGGUUCUGCGCGUCAUGUUGUAUGACUGUUGUGACAUGUCUUGCAUUUGCCCUCGUGCAGCCUUUCACAACAACUCUCAUACCUUCAAUUAAGCUCUAUACAGCACAUGGAAAGGCCAGGGGGGGGAAAGAUGAAUCGUUUUGUCACAUGCUGUCACCUGACUACGAAAGAUGAGUGAGAGAACACAGGGUGCUGUUACAGUCUGUGUGAUCGUUGCAUGAUUUAAAGCUGGUUCCACUCUCCUCUCUGCAAAGGGGGUCAUGUGGUGUUGGUAUGCCGAUGGACACCAGCACCGUCCAUUUCUGGAGGUAUGGCAUGUCUGGCUGUGACAUCACUGUCCUGCUGACUGCAUCGCUGAUGAAGCGGCACAACUAUGUUUGGAGAUUUUUACGUUAGCUGCAACCAAGUAAGGGUGAAAAAAUGGACAUGCAGGGAAAGCAAAGUCUGGGUUUUUCCAACUAAAAUUGUGGCCCCGCCUCCCAGUUAGAGAUCUGUUCUUCCAUGUAAUAACCUAUUGUCUAAAAACUCAUGUAACAUGUUCGUUUUUCCAGUCAUGCUCUGAACAGGAUCACCUUUCCUUCCUAAAGGGCAAACUCUUGAACACAUCAUGUGAACUAUCUCUCCUGUUCCCUGUUUUGACUUUUUCUGCCAACUUCCUGAUUUACUUUUACCCCAAACACCCAACCUAAUAUUUACACCCAUACUCUUCGUCUGCCCCUCUGUCUUUUUGCCUGCAGAUAAAAAACAAUCUGAUACUUAUUUUUCCCUGUUUGGUAGCACAUCCGUCAACUAAAGUUCUGCAAUAGUACUGUUGGGAACAACCUUCACCAGGAGGCUAAAAAACCAAUCUAACCUUAAAAAGGUCACUAUGAAACAACAUGAGCGCAGUUAUCCCCGAGGUGGAACUCAGACAGUUGUCGUGACUUUUAUGUCCUAAGCUGUUAUACUUUGUACUCAGUAGAAACAGCACUGACUGUUCACUUGGGGCAGAUGUAGGUCAGGAAGCUGGUAUGAGGGAAACAGCACGUGAGUGACAUACGACACAUAUUUCUGUGUCGUUUUGAACAAAACAGGAGAAGAAGAAGAAGGAGGAGGAGGAGGGGAAGAGUGAGCGUGAGAGAUUCAUGCAGGUUCUUCCAGUUUAUCUAUUCAACUUGGAGUAUAAUGAGAUGGACAUACUGUACACUGCAGAGAAUUUAGCCCUACAGUAACAACAAGCAGAGGUAUCAGACUUCAGUGUAUUGUCAGGCUGUGCUGUAUUGCAUGCCAUAAAACAUUUCCCAGCAUAGCUUUGCAGAGCUGACAGCUAAAAAGCACGCUAAACCCGCACAGAAAGGUCAGAGAUUGCAGAUAUCUGAAUCAAAGGGUAACUUUCUGAGUGUACCAAUGUGUAGAAAGGAAAACAAAACGGCAGUCAGAUUUUGAUAAUCAGUCACCUCUCAGUCCCUAGUGACCUUUUCUUGCAAAGUGGUGCCUCUUUUCGGUAAAGCAGGCCUGUUUUUCUUACAUGCCUUUUGCCUUCAAUAACCCAAAUGUCACUCAAGGUCCCAUAGGGGCAUGCACCCUUUCACUGUGACAUGAUAAAACUCCCCCCAGCGUGUACCAAAAACUUUCACCUCCCCCUCACAGAGAGUGGGAAGCGCUCACUGACUCAGAGCUGACACUGGUGGACUUUCAGUUCUGUUUGCAGUUUACUCCACAGUGAAAAGAAGACCCCCGGUUAUUUGAAGUUGCAUACAUGCACGGGUUUAGGAAACAUGAUAAACUUGCAAACAGUACAUCCCUUUCAUGUAUCUCCUGUGUGGCGUGCAUGCGUGCGGUAAAGAGAGGUGAACAGAGGUGGAGGGAGGUGAAUGGAGGUGGAGGGUGAAAAGGAGGUAAACAAAUGGAACAAUGAAACACGGUGCAGGACAUUCUGACCCAGAGUGAGGAGAAAGGAACAGAGUAAGGCUAGAGUAACACCAUGUGUCUGCCUUAGCCCUUGGAACAGUGCCCCCAUGCCAAGACUGUCAAUAGAUCACACAGUGGCACACAUGGAUACACACAUGCAAAGACCAAUACACACACUUACAGGCCUGUUACGUGCAAGCACUUACAAAUACUUAAAUAAUCACUCACGCACACACUACUCAGUGUUGCACUGCUAAUGAUGUUCUCUGAAGAGAACAGGAAAGGGGAUCAAUAGCUAUUAGAAAGCACUGUGAGGUUGUAUUUCCCUCUCUUCCCUCUAAUGUAAGCUGGCUAUGAUUUGUUUCAGUAAAAGUGCACAGCCAUUUCUUUUCAUCUGGUCACUUACUAUUACAGUAACAACUAAAUAUUACCAGCAGUACAUUUCCUAUUCCUCUGUGACAGAGGGGUUAUAUUUGUUUUGUAUUCCUGAGUGAUGACAAAAAGGCUGCAUACUAUAUUUAGACAUUUUCACUGCAAAACCUCAAGAUAUUAAUAGGAACACAGAAGCUACGUAUAUGACCAUAAUUUGAUAGUUUGCAGUCAUCAGGGAUUACAGAGGAGUUUUCUUGUUCUGUGUUUGUGGACUUUGAUGAGCUGAAGAAGACACUACUUGUCCCUUGGAGUUCACAUUACUUUCUAUGAUUGCUUUUAUAGGAGAGGAUCUCAAAAUAGCCCCAUAGAGGAACAGGCUGUCUUUGAAACAUGUGUCUGUAACACAUGUUGGGAAAAAAACAAUCUUUACAAGAUGCCAUGAUGCUUUGACAAAAGGCAUGAAAAAUUGGAUUUGGGUCAAAGAACAUUGUGAUAUUUGUUCCUCUCAACAUGGGCAGUUCUGCUAUAAUAAUAACUGCAGCUGGCUAUCUCUAUUUGGCCAGGCUGUGAUUUCAAAUGUAGAACGGAGGCCUAUUUAAAGGGUCAUUGAAGCUGACUGCAGAGUGCUUUUGUGUGAUGCUUGACAUUUUAUAUACGUAGGAGUGCAACACGGGACAUGCAUCCCUGUCUGCCUCACAUGGCAAGACAGGUCAUGCAUCUGUGUCUGCCUUAGAUGUUAUGUUCAAUAUCUGCAGCAUGAUGGGUCGGUGAAUGUUGGCAUGGACUGCUGAAAAGAAAUCUUGGAACAUGAUUUGCAUUCAGAGAAGUAACCAGUGCUGCAGAGAUUUAAUAGGAAAAACACUAUGUGCAUGCAAGAAAAUCAUGCAAUUGCGUAAAUACUUGUCUCUAGAUAUGGUAAUGCACUACAUUUCACAACAACAUAGUAAAUAAUGAAUGCUGUAAUGAAAAUGUAGCAAAAUCAGUCAUCAAAUCACUGCAAUCUUUGCCCUGUUUGCUUUGACUCAGCUUUCCUACCAACGAUGCCAUGUGUGCCGUUCUCUCUCUGUGUACACAGAGCCACCGUGUGUUCAUAAACUUGGGGGAAACUCCAGCUUGCCACAGAUGAGCAAAGUCUCCCAUCAAACAGUCAAAAUCUGAUCACUGUGUGAGAAAUGGCAGCUGCAAAACAGCAGCAGAGAAAAGGUUUAGCAGUCAGUGCUUACACAUCAGUUUGAAAGUCUCUGUGUGUAAAAGCGGGUUUGUUUGGCAUGCUCUGGUAACCCCCCACAUUCAGAGAAAAAGCUAACCAGCUUUUGAAACUGUGCAAAAAAAAAAAUUCUCCCCAGUUGCAUAACAUCUUCUUAUGUGUCGCGUGUUUUGUGUAAGGCUUAGUCAGCUGUUAAAAUUAAAAAACAUCAGACUCCCAGUAUGAAGAAACACAUUCAUGCUGCACUUUGAGGAUGCUAGCUUCAUGUAUUGUGUAGCUUAGACAGAAAGCCUCCAUCUCACUGUCUCUCUAUUUGAAAAGCCACGUGUUGGUCUGUCAUUAAAGGUCAGAGGUCAAUCAGUAGCAGGUCGAGAAGUCAGCAGGUCAGAGGUAGGUCUCUGUGUUGUAAUUGUGCCGUCCCUUGGGCUGUGUAAAAGGGACUAGACAGCUGUCCUGCCCCAUAAAGAUACAUUAACCCUGCCCUGGCUAAGUGCAAACUGGGCCUAUCUAGUCCAUGAAUGGCUGUUUAAUGGCUGCAGACAGAGAGGACUGAUGGACAGAUGAAACAUAGAUUUGCCACUGCAGGAUCUUGUGGGCUCUCUCUAUGAUUGUUGCAGCCUUAAAUGCCCGAUUUUGGUCAUUUGUCAUCACUUUUGGUUAAUUUCUGUGUUGACUUUGAAUAAAAAAUAUAAAAAGUUGAUUACUACCUCACUGCAAACUCUACAUGUUCUUUACAACCUCCUACUGGUAUAUGAUAAAGUCUGUUUUGGGGGGAUGACUUAGGGGAAGUUUUAACAUCUUCUGGAAGAGUGCAGUUUGUGCAGCCCUCUCUAGAACUAUCUAUGAUGUUUGCAACCCUGCUAGCUACCAGUACUGCACUGAGAACAGCCUGCAACCACAUAUCUGAGACUGCUGGUCACAUGUUUGUCCAAGGCAUGACUUUAGCUUGAUUUUAAAACAUAAAAUACAACUAUCUGUAUCAUCAUGUUAUUUAGGGUGACCAUACCAGGAUCAGGGUCCUCGUUUACAUGGACAUGUCCUCUUUUUUGGGGGCUGUCCAGGCUUGUCCGGCUUAGUCCAGGGAAGUUUAUAAAAUCCUUCAAAUGUCUGCGGUUUUGUCUGUAAGUUUCGAUUUUGUGUCACAUGGACUUACUGAGUUAGAAGCAUGUAAAAGACACUCAAUCCGACCCGAAAAAACUCUUGAAAUCAACUUUGUGCGACUCCGUGACUCCACCCCCACGUAGUUGUGUCCUCUUUUUGGAGAUUCAGAAUAUGGUCACCCUAAUGUUAUUGUAUGUACUCAGUUAUAGGAUGCAGCCCUUUUUUUAGAUGAAAAAAGCAUUAAAAUUGGCUCUGAAUCGUGGGGUAGAUUAGUAACACAGCCUCUGGUUGGUGGAGAGCAGGGAGCAUGUAGCUUCUGAUUGGUCUUUGGCUUUACAAAAUGCACCAGGAAUGGCUAGGUUAAAUAUUUUUAACACAGAAAUAUGAAUAUAAAAAGGGUACGUAAUGGAUUUUAACUGCUGUGAAUUUACUUUGAAAGUCUUAAAAAACAAACAGACUGUAGUUUAAGGCUGGAUUAGGAUGCCCCUAUUUAAUAGAGACUGGACCUGUCUGCUGUGAUGCAGAAAAAAAGUAUGUUUUUAUUGUGCUGUGGUCCACUGAUAUUAUUGACAGUAAAAAGUACUUUUAGAUAUUUUAUAGAGCAUACCUGAGAGUCAAAGAAUUGAAUUUGGCAGCAGAAAUAACACUGCCAGGAGGAGAAACUUGGUGAGAAGAUGUGGAUUUCGACAAAACUGCAAAUUUGCACAGAAUAUACUGAGAUUGUUCUAAUUUGACUCGACUUUUGCAACUGCUAUUUAACAAGACAGACACUGUAAGAUUUGACUGAUAGAAAAAGUCACUCUGAAGCGUGGACUCAUGAGCCUCUAGUGCCUUCGCUGUUUAAUGAUGCAUCAAAAACAAGUACACUGAGCAUUGUGCGUCUGUAAAGAGGUGGUUCUCUGUGUGGUGCAGCUGUUGCGUCUCCCCUGGGUGAAGAGGAGGGUAAAAGGGACAGAGGAGAGGGUCUCUGCCCUGCACUGUCUGUUUCAUUGUACUGCUGCUCCUCUCAUUCUCUGCCUACUUCUCAGGUUUCACAGCCCACACGCCUGAAUCACACAGUCACCAAUGAUGUGCACACUCACUCUCGCACUCACACUCACACACUCAUACACUUUCUACCCGCGGGGAUGAUUCACUGUUACCCCCCUCAUUUCCCUGGGGAGCAGUGACUCAGGGUGAGAGGAGAGGAAGAAGAAAAGGACAGAAUAUAAUAGGGCCCAGUAAUAAGUGAGAAGAACAUAGAGCGACUGGUUUGAGAGUGGUGUAAGGAUGAGCAGUUUGGCCUUCAGUCCUUUGAGGAGGCAGCAGGCGCUCUGUGGAGCUCAACUUGUGCUGAACAUGAGCUUCAUGAUGCACACUGCUGGUCUUAGUCACCACGGCAACUGUUAUGCGGUGUUCAGCAGAGGGACAUUUUCUGCAAACGACAUUCAGCAUUGUUCCAGAAGUGCAGCGCCCCCCUCAGCCCCCCUGAUAUUGUUUCAAAGAUGUUCUCCUGUGAAUAACAGAUGCCCUUGGAGAGAGAAUACUUCAUUUUGGCUUCCAGGAAUUAAAUCAAGACACAAUCACUGGAAAUGAAUGAGCUGAGAUUGAUUUACUUUUGAAUCAUUCGAAGGAAACACGGAUAAAACAAAAGUGCAAAGACAAAUAACUUUUAAAAGAAAGUGUAGUGCUUUCACUUAUAAAACCAGAAGCAGUCUGGCCUGUGCUUUCUUCUUUCAGUGCACCUAAGAGACUUCAGCCUGAGUAGUUGAGUGACAGAGCUCUUAUCAGCAGAUCUGCUUACUGUGCUGCAAUGUGCCAACGUGCAGGUCACACAAGCAGAACAUGUAACCCACAAGAGAAGCCAUGUUUCUGUGGAUUCCCUGCUAGAUAAGUCAAGGUAUCAGAAUUACUCUUCGAGGAAAAUACCCAACUUUUCAUUGGUAGAAAAUCAAACCAGGCCAGCAGAUUUCUUUGGAGUUUUAUAACAACAGCCAAGCACAAAGGCAACCUAUCAGAAAAUGUUCUGACCUUUCGAUCUCUUCAUACUCUCUUUCUAUUUCUCUGUCCUUUCACAUGUGGUACAGUUAUUGCUGUACAGGUCCACCCAAUUUCUGAGAGAAGCUACUUCACUUUCUUGUCAAGUGGUCCUAAUUGGUGCUGUUAUGAGCAGUCAGUGUGUGACCUUACUUGUCUGAGAAGUGGGGUGAGUCAGAGUGCAUUAAGAGCGGCAUCUUAAAGUACGGCCUUACCACAUGGUGUGGUGCUGAAAGAGAGAAGGAGAGAGAACCUCACCUCACAGCAGUCAGGCAUAUGACUCACGGCUCUUUCUCUCUGGGAUGCUUUCAACCCUAUGUGGGUGUGUGUGUGUGGGACUGUCAGUGUGUGGUAGUGUGUGGUGAGGAUCGGCACCGGCUAAUGUCAUUUAGUUUCAUGCAACAACAGUUUCAGCCUUAGCAUGAAUGCAUGUAAGUUUUACAAACAUACCCGUGUUUUAUCACACAUAUAAAUCUUAUCAAGUAAGGUUUGAGUUACCAAUUCCAAAUGACAUGUCGUAACCAUCUUACUCAAAUGAAAAUAACCUCAAGCUGGGGCACCCAUGAUGUCUUGUUGUGAAGUGAAUGCUGAGCAAAGUGGAGUUUCCUUCUGUGGAGGAAUCCCCCCUGUGCAGCGACCUGGUUUCUGUCUGUUUCACCCACACACACCGCACUAACACACACCCACACAUACAGUACUGCAGACAGUGCAAAUGAAAAGGCUGAUUUGUAUAUGUAGCUAGCACACACUGUAAUAGUAAUGUUAGGUCAGAGGAAUACUACAGUUGUUACAAUAUAAAAACUAGUACUUGUAUAGUACUAUGUAUAAUGGCUGCCCCUUGCAGUUACUGUUUUGGAGUAUCAAAGAGUAGCUACAAGGGAAAUUUAAUGAUAUAUUAGCAAUCAGUGUUUUCUAAUCAUCUGUUUUAUGACUGAAUACUAAGUGAAAAAAAGGUAAAAUAACUGAAUAAAGUUAUGAUUUAUCAAAAUAAUCUACCAUACUAAUUGUAAUAUCGGUAACACCUUAUUUGAUGCCUUCCUCUAAAACACAUGAUAAAUAUAUUUAUAAUGCAUUCUAAUCAUGUUAUAGCACUGUAUAACUAUAGUUAUAAACACUCAUAAAUGAUUAUAAUGAUUUAUAGCAAUGAUCAUAACACAUUAUAAAGCAUUUUAUCAUGACCUACAAGGUCAGGUAUUAUAAUGUGUUAUGAUUAUUGUCAUAAAGCUUUAUGAAAACUAAUGAGUGUUUAUAAUGAUAGUUAUACAAGUUUAUAAGCAAAUUAUAACACAUCAUAAAUAUAUGUACAAUGCAUUAUCUAUGUGGGCAUUGUCAGUGAGUUGUUAACAAUUAUAACACAUUAUAAUACCUGACCUUGUAAGUCAUGAUAAAAUGCUUUAUAAUAUGUUAUGAUUAUUGCUAUAAAGCGUUAUGAUCAUUUAUGAGUGUUUAUAACUAUAGUUAUACAGUGCUAUAACGUGAUUGUAAUGCAUUAUACAUACUUGUAUAGUACUAUUUAUAAUGGCUGCCCCCUCGCAGCUACUGUUUUAGAGAAACAAAGUAGCAAAGCAAAAAGUAGAAACUUUUAUGUUUCAUCAAAAUAAUCAACCAUACUAACUGUAAUAUCAGUUAUAAAGACCCAACGCUGAUGCAACAUGAACAAGUUCUCCACAAUUUUUGUCAGCAGUGUAAAGAGAGAGCUUCUUUUCACAGGUAGAAACCUUGUGCAGAACCAGAUUCAUGUUUAAUAUCUAUCUGCUGCAAUGAGAUGAGCCAAGAAAGUGAGAUUGAGGUCGAGAUAGAAAGUGAGAACUCAGCAUAAUAAUUAGAAGUUUCCCCGUUUUCACAGUAAAAACCUCAAACCAGUGUCCUAUUACCUUGAUCACAGUGACAUAUUGGUGACUACGCAGCGACAGAGGGCCAAACAGACAGAGGUCAUCAUUGGCUUGACCCCUCUAAUGGAGUAUGGUGAUCUCUGACCUUUGACCAGUCUGCUCAGCCCAGUCAUGGCCCUUAUUGACUCAGAUCAAGAGUCAGCUCACACUUUGCUGGUCUGGGUCUGAAGGAAAAGUGAAAACUGGCUCUGGAUCAGCGUCUGUGACCCUUUUAGACCCUCCUGCUCAGCAGUCCAUGUGGCUUACAGGGAGGAGGAAGUGAGCGUAACGUGUGAUUAUUAUCUGACUGACAGGAAACCCUUUUGUCUCCGGGGUUAUCUGGCUGCUUGCAGAGGAGAUGACGUGAACACCAGAGGACAGAGAGGCUUUUUCACCAGCCCUUUGGACCACAACCAGCAAAAGAUGACUCCAAAACUGAUGUCCCCCCUCUAGUCUACUGCUGAAGUUUACCUUAAAUCCUGCAGGUCAAAUCAACAUGUAAUUAAACCAUACCAGCAUGCACUCUUUUCCUCCCACUCUUUCAUGUCUUGCCAUCUCGUGUGUCCUUAUUGUCCUGCUGCUUUUGUUGUUUUACACAGCAUGUAAAAUUUCACAGGAAUCAUGAGUAAUGGGACCCCAUGGUGCAUAGACACAGUUACAUGGUGGUCUGGCACACGCUCCACUUCUCUGUGUUCUCUGUUUACCUUUGUCAUAUCAGUGUGCGCUCAGUUUAUAAAGCAAAAGAUAGCAGAAGGGUAAAUAUUCUAUAAAUAUAGAGGCUCUAAAUCUGUCUGAUAUACACAGAGCUGGCCAAGUUGGUGCUCAUAGCAAGGUUAUGUCUUGACAUCUCCAAAUUUAUUGGGGGUGCAAAAUUUAUGGGGAUUUCUUAUUAGGACUUCAGGAGAAAAGUCUGCUAUUAAUAGUCCAGUAUCAGUUUUUCUGCCACAGAGUAUCAGUUCACAUGCCAUAAUGCAAUAUGAAGCCCAGGCCUGAUUAUAACCUUGAUUAUUAUUAUUCGUUAUUGUAACUCUUUAACCUC
rnacentral:lncRNA from 1 species